rnacentral:rRNA from 1 species
AUGCAUCCCUUCAGAUUUUACCGCACCAAGGUGACUACACAAUUUUUUGAUAUCUAUCGGCUGACAUUGGUGUUCAUCCAGGAGGCAAGCGGCAGCAUAUACGUACAUUUACUGACAUUGAAGUUCAUCCAGGAUAGAUGUAGUAGGAGUAGACCAAAGGAAAUGAAUGUCAACCUGAAUGGAUCAACGUCUGGUGUGGUCAGAGCAGUCGGCCGCGGUGGUGCUAGAUGCCAGGCUAUGGCCGAGGGGAACAGGCGAACAGUCAAGAUGGUUCCGUCCGAGAACAAGGAAGACAGCGGGAAGGAGGCGGUACACUAA